rnacentral:ribozyme from 13 species
AGAAAAAAAAAAAAAAAAAAAAAAAAAAAAAAAAAAAAAAAA